GACGAACGCUGGCGGCGUGCCUAAUACAUGCAAGUAGAACGCUGAAGAGAGGAGCUUGCUCUUCUUGGAUGAGUUGCGCACGGGUGAGUAACGCGUAGGUAACCUGCCUUGUAGCGGGGGAUAACUAUUGGAAACGAUAGCUAAUACCGCAUAACAAUGGAUGACACAUGUCAUUUAUUUGAAAGGGGCAAUUUUUCCACUACAAGAUGGACCUGCGUUGUAUUAGCUAGUAGGUGAGGUAAUGGCUCACCUAGGCGACGAUACAUAGCCGACCUGAGAGGGUGAGCAGCCACACUGGGAGGGUGACACGGCCCAGAGUCCUACGGGAGGCAGCAGUAGGGAAUCGUCGGCAAUGGGGGCGACCCUGACCGAGCAACGCCGCGUGAGUGAAGAAGGGUGUCGGAUCGUAAAGCUCUGUUGUAAGUCAAGAACGGGUGUGAGAGUGGAAAGUUCACACUGUGACGGUAGCUUACCAGAAAGGGACGGCUAACUACGUG
rnacentral:rRNA from 1 species